AGAAUAUAUGGGCAAAGCAGUUGAAAAGCUGUGACGCAAAGCUAAAGGGCCUUUAAAAUGGCAGCCAGCUGCAGAG
rfam:Ruminococcus sp. CAG:17 genomic scaffold, scf115